AGGCACCAGGCAAACUCGGGAAAGUGGCUCUCUCACACCCUGGCUGCCUUUGCCACCCUAACCAAGGGAUGGUGGAUUCAAGAAAGAGUCGGUCCCUGCUCUGAAAAGGACCCAACACUGUAGCAGGAAUGACCACGUCCUGCAGGAAUGUGUGCCCAGAUGUGAAGCCACGGCUUCCGCCUGAGCAAUGGCAGCGGAGGCCACAGGAGAGGGCUGCCGAACAUGAGGCUCCUUGGAGCUCCACUUUAAGACUGUGAGGAACUGCAGCAUUGCACAUUUCUAGCUUCUGGCCUCCUCCACCCUCUGCAAUGGAUCCCCGCACCAAGCCCCGGCCCCCGGCAAAGGACAUGGCAAACCACCCAGCAAGUCGCCUCAGAGUCCUCAGCCAGGCCUGGGGGACGAGACCAACUGGCCCCUGUGGAGGACGAGCCACACUGCUUUGUAGCCGGUGGGGGAAGCCGCCUGGGCCUGGCCCUUUGCCCUGGGCUCCUGCAUGGCCCUGGCACAGCAG
rnacentral:lncRNA from 1 species